rnacentral:rRNA from 1 species
CCUACGGGGGGCUGCAGUGGGGAAUAUUGGACAAUGGGGGCAACCCUGAUCCAGCCAUGCCGCGUGUGUGAAGAAGGCCCUCGGGUUGUAAAGCACUUUCAGUGAGGAAGAACGCCUGGUGGUUAAUACCCAUCAGGAAAGACAUCACUCACAGAAGAAGCACCGGCUAACUCCGUGCCAGCAGCCGCGGUAAUACGGAGGGUGCGAGCGUUAAUCGGAAUUACUGGGCGUAAAGCGCGCGUAGGUGGCUUGAUAAGCCGGUUGUGAAAGCCCCGGGCUCAACCUGGGAACGGCAUCCGGAACUGUCAAGCUAGAGUGCAGGAGAGGAAGGUAGAAUUCCUGGUGUAGCGGUGAAAUGCGUAGAGAUCGGGAGGAAUACCAGUGGCGAAGGCGGCCUACUGGACUGACACUGACACUGAGGUUCGAAAGCGUGGGUAGCAAACAGGAUUAGAUACCCGGGUAGUC